AUGGGCCUCGGCGAGGGCGAGUACGAGCCGCGCGUCGUGCACCAGUUCCUGGACCUGGCCUACCGCUACGUCGGGGACGUGCUCGGCGACGCCCAGGUCUACGCCGACCACGCGGCCAAGCCGCAGCUCGACGCCGACGACGUCCGCCUCGCCAUCCAGGCCAAGGUCAACUUCUCCUUCUCCCAGCCGCCGCCGCGCGAGGUUCUACUCGAGUUGGCACGCAGCCGGAACAAGAUCCCGCUGCCCAAGUCUAUAGCUCCACCUGGCUCAAUCCCCUUGCCACCCGAACAGGACACAUUGUUGAGUGAAAACUACCAACUCCUACCUGCAUUGAAGCCGCCAACUCAGACCGAGGAAGCAGAAGAUGACAAUGAGGGAGCUGGUGCAAGCCCUACCAAUCCUAAUCCAAACUAUCCGCAGGAUCAGAGGGGCAGUGAGCAACAUCAGCCUCAGAGCCAGAGGGUUUCUUUCCAACUGAACGCGGUGGCCGCCGCAGCUGCAAAACGUUCUCUAGUGACAAUUGAUCAGUUGAACAUGGGCUAA
rnacentral:rRNA from 1 species